ACGGGAGGCAGCAGUGGGGAAUAUUGCACAAUGGGGGAAACCCUGAUGCAGCGACGCCGCGUGAGUGAAGAAGUAUUUCGGUAUGUAAAGCUCUAUCAGCAGGGAAGAUAAUGACGGUACCUGACUAAGAAGCCCCGGCUAACUACGUGCCAGCAGCCGCGGUAAUACGUAGGGGGCAAGCGUUAUCCGGAUUUACUGGGUGUAAAGGGAGCGUAGACGGAAGGCCAAGUCUGAUGUGAAAACCCGGGGCUCAACCCCGGGACUGCAUUGGAAACUGGUCAUCUAGAGUGCAGGAGAGGUAAGUGGAAUUCCUAGUGUAGCGGUGAAAUGCGUAGAUAUUAGGAGGAACACCAGUGGCGAAGGCGGCUUACUGGACUGUAACUGACGUUGAGGCUCGAAAGCGUGGGGAGCAAACAGGAUUAGAUACCCUGGUA
rnacentral:rRNA from 1 species